rnacentral:rRNA from 1 species
GACGAACGCUGGCGGCGCGCUUAACACAUGCAAGUCGUGCGGUGUCGAAGGCAAGUCUUACGACAAGCCUUCGACACAGCGGCGAACGGGUGAGUAACACGUGAGUAGCUGUCCUAAGGAGGGGGAUAACGCCUGGAAACGGGUGCUAACACCCCAUAUGCCUCGCAAGAGGUGAAAGUGUACUUGCUACAGCCUUAGGGUGUGCUCGCGGCCUAUCAGCUAGUUGGUGAGGUAACGGCUCACCAAGGCUAAGACGGGUAGCCGGCCUGAGAGGGUGUACGGCCACACUGGAAUUGAGAUACGGUCCAGACUCCUACGGGAGGCAGCAGUGGGGAAUCUUGGGCAAUGGGCGAAAGCCUGACCCAGCGACGCCGCGUUGGGGAUGAAGCCCUUCGGGCGUAACCAUGUUGUAGGGGACGAAGAAGUGACGGUACCUACGAGAAGCCCGGCAACUACGUG